GGGCUUAAUCUGAACUCUCGCCAUCAUGACGGCUUCAGACAUACUCCUACCAUCGUGGGGGCUUCAGACGCACUCCCACAGUCAUGGAAGCUUUAUCUGCACCCCUACCAUGGUGAGGGCUUCAUCUGCACUCCCACCUUCAUAGGGGCUUAAUCUGCACUUUCACUAUCGUGGGGGUUUAAUCUGCAUCAGGGGUAACUUUGGUGGCAAUGAAGAUGCAUAUGCAAAAAUGUUGGAC
rnacentral:lncRNA from 1 species